GCUCAGUCUGGGAAUCAGGGUCAAUGGCCUUGAGUUGUAGUCUGCAGAUGCUUUGCCAAUGUGGAUGCUGAUGCAAGCCUUUUGGAAAAGAGCAUGAACAAGGGUGAGAGUCCUGUCUAUCAUCUGCUUUCCCCAUGCACGGCAAGCACUCUACGAGUCACGUUCCUUGGGCCUGGAGCGCAAACUUGGUGGUAAUUUCCAUCUUAAGCUUAAUACGCAUUCAAGACCGAUAGCGAACAAGUACCAUGAGGGAAAGGUGAAAAGGACUUUGAAAAGAGUGUUAAAAGUGUCUGAAAUUGCUGAAGUGAAAGCGAAAGGAGUCAAUGCUGUUUGGUGAGAUUGCCGUGCACAUAUGCAUGCGCCUGCAACAGCGAUGCAAAUGCUGUAGUAGGUCGUGUGCACGUGUGUGCGGUGCUACUCCCUACACAUGUUGCUGUCAGUCUGCUGAUGUGCAAAAUGCCUGGUGCAUGGUGUGUUGCCCAGUGUGACUGAAUGCGUUGGGCUGAGCACAGCUGCUGUCUGAGGUAUUCGUGUCUUGCUGCAAUGAUCUGCGGUGCAAGUGCUUUCUCGAAGGGUUUGAUCCUUCUGACGGCACCGUAACUGUGGGCCAUAUGCUUGAUGCAAAAGCAGCGACAAAGUGGACCUUUUCGACCCGUCUUGAAACACGGACCAAGGAGUCUAACAUGUAUGCGAACUUGUGGGUGAGAAAACUUGUGAGUACAAUGAAGGUAUUUGCUGGGAUAUCUGCACCAGCAGUGGACCGAUUGAUUGGGAGAGGUUUGAGUACGAGCAUAUCUGUUAGGACCCGAAAGAUGGUGAACUAUGCUUGAGAAGGGCAAACUCAGGGGAAACUCUGAUGGAGGCUCGUAGCGGUACUGACGUGCAAAUCGUUCGUCAUACUUGGGUAUAGGGGCGAAAGACUAAUCGAACCAUCUAGUAGCUGGUUCCCUCCGAAGUUUCCCUCAGGAUAGCUGGAGUCGAUCAGUUUUAUCAGGUAAAGCGAAUGUUUAGAGGACUCGGGGACGUGUUGCCCUCGACCUAUUUUCAAACUUUAAAUGGGUAAGAUCUAGUGGUUGCUUGAGUGAUCUUCUGGGAGAAAUGGCAUUUCUAAGUGGGCCAUUUUUGGUAAGCAGAACUGGCGAUGAGGGAUGAACCUAACAUUGGGUUAAGGUGCUUAACUGCUCGCUCAUCAGAUACCAUAAAGGGUGCUGGUGCAUUU
rnacentral:rRNA from 1 species